AUCCUAGCGUUGGCUAGGAGGCGUCGAGGCGGCGGACGGGUGAGUAAUGCAUGAGGAAUGCUGCCCGGUAGUGGGGGAUGACUUGAGGAAACUCAAGCUAAUACCGCAUACGCCCUACGGGGGAAAGCAGGGGCUCUUCGGACCUUGCGCUAUCGGAUGAGCUUAUGUCGGAUUAGCUGGUUGGUGAGGUAACGGCUCACCAAGGCGACGAUCCGUAGCUGGUCUGAGAGGAUGAUCAGCCACAUCGGGACUGAGACACGGCCCGAACUCCUACGGGAGGCAGCAGUGGGGAAUAUUGGACAAUGGGGGCAACCCUGAUCCAGCCAUGCCGCGUGUGUGAAGAAGGCCCUCGGGUUGUAAAGCACUUUCAGCGAGGAAGAAUGCUUGUCGGUUAAUACCCGGCAAGGGAGACAUCACUCGCAGAAGAAGCACCGGCUAACUCCGUGCCAGCAGCCGCGGUAAUACGGAGGGUGCGAGCGUUAAUCGGAAUUACUGGGCGUAAAGCGUGCGUAGGCGGCUUGAUAAGCCGGUUGUGAAAGCCCCGGGCUCAACCUGGGAACGGCAUCCGGAACUGUUAGGCUAGAGUGCAGGAGAGGAAGGUAGAAUUCCCGGUGUAGCGGUGAAAUGCGUAGAGAUCGGGAGGAAUACCAGUGGCGAAGGCGGCCUUCUGGACUGACACUGACGCUGAGGUACGAAAGCGUGGGUAGCAAAACAGGGAUUAGAUACCCCUGGUAGUCCACGCCGUAAACGAUGUCGACUA
rnacentral:rRNA from 1 species